rnacentral:tRNA from 1 species
GCCGAUGUAGCUCAGAAGGUAGAGCACGUGAUUUGUAAUCUCGUUGUCGGGGGUUCAAAUCCCUCCAUCGGCU